rnacentral:lncRNA from 1 species
UCUAAUCAACUGGAACUAGUAUCCCUUUUUAAUCCUUUACUAAUAACUAAUUCAUCAAAAUAUUCUUCAUCCAAAGCAUAAAAAUAAUUAUCCCAUCUUCCAUCUAGUGAAAACUUAAAAUCAUACUUGCACCAAUUUACUAUACAUCUUGUUCUAUAAAAUCUUGCUUUCAUAUUAGUGUUUCAUCAUCACAAUCAUUUCCACUAGUAAUACUUAUUCAAGAAUCCAAAUAAAAAUUUUGGUGUUUGCCUAAAAAUUACUAUUGCUAACCUUUAUUCAAAUGGAAAUUUAUCAAUCAAACAACUUGAGCAAGAAGACAUUAUACCCCUUUCACUGGAUCUGAAAAUUAAACCCACAAAUUAAACCUAGCAAUUUUAACAUAAAAUUUUUCUCUACCUCUUGAAGAAAAUAAAGAGAAGAGAGAAUGAAAAUCAAGCUCGAACUACCUUUCUUCCGUUCUUCUUCUCCUCCGCUUAUUUCUUUUCUUUAUUUUGUCUUUUCUUUCCCUUCCUUUUUUCUUCCUCCCCAUUUUCUCUUCUGCU